AACGAACGCUGGCGGCAGGCUUAACACAUGCAAGUCGAACGCCCCGCAAGGGGAGUGGCAGACGGGUGAGUAACGCGUGGGAAUCUACCUAGUUCUACGGAACAACACAGGGAAACUUGUGCUAAUACCGUAUACGCCCUACGGGGGAAAGAUUUAUCGGAAUUAGAUGAGCCCGCGUAAGAUUAGCUAGUUGGUGGGGUAAUGGCCUACCAAGGCGACGAUCUUUAGCUGGUCUGAGAGGAUGAUCAGCCACACUGGGACUGAGACACGGCCCAGACGCCUACGGGAGGCAGCAGUGGGGAAUAUUGGACAAUGGGCGAAAGCCUGAGCCAGCCAUGCCGCGUGAGUGAUGAAGGCCUUAGGGUUGUAAAGCUCUUUCAGUAGGGAAGAUUAUGACGGUACCUACAGAAGAAGCCCCGGCUAACUUCGUGCCAGCCGCCGCAGUAA
rnacentral:rRNA from 1 species